ensembl:lncRNA
AAGUGAUAUCAUAUGGUAUUUGUCUUUGUCUUUCUGGCUCAUUUCACUCAGUAUGAGAUUCUCUAGUUCCAUCCAUGUUGCUGCAAAUGGCAUUAUGUCAUCCUUUUUUAUGGCUGAGUAGUAUUCCAUUGUGUAUAUAUACCACAAGCCCCCGCUCUUAAAGAGUGCUCCCUGACAAGAUGAAAUACAUAUUAUGGCUCUGUGUGUGUGUGUCUGUGUGUGUGUGUGUGUGUGUGGUGUGCAAGACAGUCAAGGAGUUCCUGUUGUGGCUCAGCAGGUUAGGAAUCCGACCAGUAUCCAUGAGGAGGUGGGUUUGAUCCCUGGCCUCACUCAGUGGGUUGAGGAUCUGGCAUUGCCGUGAGCUGUGGUGUAGCUCGCAGAUGUGGCUAGGAUCUGGUUUUGCUGUAGCUGUGGUGUAGGCUGGCAGCUGUAGCGCUGAUUAGACCUCUAGCCUGGGAACUUCCAUAUGCCAUGGGCAAAGAUGGUGAGUGAGGGUACUCAAGGAGCAGCUUACCCCGAACACAAACUGAAGAUGCUCAUCUUCCUUUGCCUCCACCCAACUUGACCCAAACUCACUGUCUUUUUAAAUAGAAUGUCUUUUGCCCCACAUAACCAUGUCUUACCCCUGUCUGAAUUUUGAUCUGGCCAUGACUAACAUUUCCAAGAAUAUUCUGAAACCAGCCUGAUUUUCCACCUUUAGCUUGUUCACAUUCAAGAAGAUCUCUCUUCUCAAGUCAAUGGAGGACCAGCGCCCCCAUUCCCUACUAGGCUGAUGCCUCCAAUUCACUCUGCCAAGUUCCCCCUGUGAUGCUGUGUGACUGAGAUCCUGCUGGACCAGCCGCCCAGGCUGUUUUCAGGUGCACUUGGGCACACUGGCCAUGGCGAUGCAAACACUGAGCAUCAGAUUCAGUCCAAACUUUAUUGUCUGGCCUGCAUUGUUAAUAAUAAUGGCUAUCAUUACUGCUGAUUAUAACAAUAACUCUCUGAACAAAGCAAGAAUCUCACUAAUGAUGAUUAUGAGAAGACUAAGAAUUCUAAACUAAAAUAACGACAUAAUUUCAGGUUUUAAUCCUAACAGACUAGAAAUUAAAUGUGGGCCUCAAAGUCAAGGGCAUUGCGGUAUAGUCUACACAACGGUGGCAAGCCAGAAUUUCUCCCUCAUGUUGGAAAUCCAGUUGAUGGCAGAUUCAAGACUGCUAUUGUGACUGGAAUUUGGUGACGAUGGAUAUUUCUUAUUUUAUUAGAAGUAGUUUGCAGAAGAUUUGAGAUAUUGAAAAAAGUUCCUAUAGUUUCUUAUUAUGGCAUAGAAAAUAGUAGGUGUGUUAAAAUCAUUAAAGGGGGAUUAAGACUGCACAUUUAAAAGUCAUGUUUCUUCUCAUUUGUUUAAGUGGCCUGUGACUUUGCAUUUGCUCUCCCUUUAAAAUAACUAACUAAAUAACUACAUAAAUAAAUAAUUACAUAUAUUUAAUGAAUAGUUUUAUUUGAGGUCUGGAAAAUAAUUGUAGCUACUUUUCUACUUCUCAAUAUAUGACACUAUACAAAACAUAAACUGAAUAAGGUCAAAUAAUAGCCUUGAAAGAGUCAAAAUAGAAACAUUUUUUAUAUUUAUUUAUUUAUCUUCUUUUUUGAGCCUCACCUGCAGCAUAUAGAAGUUCCCAGGCUAGGGGGUCAAGUCCGAGCUUAGCUACUGGCCUACACCACAGCCACAGCAAUGCUGGAUGCAAGCCGCCUCUGUGACUUACAUCAUAGCUCAUGGCAGCGCCGGAUCCUUAACCCACUGAGUGAAGCCAGGGAUGAAACCCGCAUCCUCAUGGAUCCUACUUGGGUUCAUUAACCUCUGAGCCACAACAGGAACUCCAGAUACAUUUUUUAAAUGUUAAGUUACCUUUAAGGGUGCAUUAAAUUCCUACAUUUCAUCUAUUCUUCCUCUUUGUUUCCGAUCUCUUCUUCUGGCAGAGAUGUUAAAAUAGAUCAGAUGGAAAAAUAAAAUCAGAAAGGAGAAACGCCUGGAUAAAUAAUAAAAUGAAGAAGUUGUGUACACUAACACAUACUCACACACACACACACAUACACACAUAUACACACACACAAAUGGAUUUGCAUAUAAUUUUUUCUUCUUCAAAAAAAUCCUAUUCUCCAAAAUAUCUCCCUAUGCAAUCUUAAUCUUUUUCUUUCCUCAGUUUGUAAGGAAUUUAUUAGAUCUUGGUGCCUAUAAAUCUUUAACAGUCACUCAUAAACAGAUAAGAGUUAUUUAAGAAAGAGGUUUUUAAAAAAGAAAGAAAAGAAAAGAAAGAGGUUAAAAAUGGAGAUUUCAGAAUUCCAAUUGCCAAGAAGUUCUGGUUUAGUAGGGCUGGGAUUGGGCACAGACUUUUUUUUUUAAUAAGCACAUCUGGAGGCCUAUGAGGCAGAUGAACCAAGAGCCCUACCUUGGAGAAACACCCUGACCUAAAAUCCAAAGAAAGCUAUAUACAUUCUUCAGCAGGCCAACAACUGAUGGAGACCAACUUUAGUGGACAACAGAGAACGAACUAGUUAAAAACUCAAGUAUGUCACAUGUGGAUCUUUUAGAUAAAAUGCUUCAUUAAAAUCAUGAUGUGACCACAGACACUCUUAGGAGAAGGUAUACAGAGUCUACAGGCCCAGGGCUUGAACAUUAGAGAGAAAUGAACAUGUAAGUAAGAUGAGUGGGUUUGAGAAUAUCCCUUUUUUAAAAAUUAAUCUUUCAAACUCUGGGAUUUAAAAAAAAUCCUCAACUGAAGUUCCCAUCAAUGGCUCAGCGGUAAAGAAACUGACUAGUAUCCAUGAGGACUCAGGUUCGAUCCCUGGACCCACUCAGUGGGUUAAGGAUCUGGUGUAGCCAUGAGCUGUGGUAUAGGUCGCUGAUGUGGCUUGAUCUGGUCUUUCUGGGGCUGGGACUGGAGCAGGGAGCUACAUCUCUGAUGUGAACUCUAGCCUGGGAACUUCGUAUGCCAUGGGUUUGGCACUAAAAAGACAAAAAUAAAUAAAUAAAUAAUUCUCAACUGUUUUUCACUAAUUAUUUUCCAUCAAGUUUUCUGAGAUAGAAUAAUUCCAUCAAGUGCCCAAUAAGGAUAUCUGGGAAGAACUAUUUAAUGACAAAGAGCAGUGUUCCUCAGACCAUUUAAGGCCUUCCACUUAGAAACAGGAAACAGCUUUCUCUUGCAGCGUUGAGUGCGGUUCAAAGGGUUCAUGCUUGGCCUUAAUUCAAAACUCAUACUAAAUUUGGCAAAAUGUGGUACCCGUGGAGGGAAAGGAAAUUAAUAUUACACUAGAUAGUGCUGAACAUCUUUCUGAAAUUGUUUGACUGAUGCACACUCAUAUUCUUCUUUAAAGACGCUUUAAUGAGGCAUUUCCCCAGAAAUUUUGAUGAUAAUCUGUGGUGGACAGAUUGGUAGUAUUUACGUACUUCUGAGGGACCACAAAGUUACAUUUGUGUGAAUGGGUUACUUCCUAUUAAAUAAAUGACUCUUCUUUCACAUGUGUCAUAAAACUUAGACUUUGCUUUUUUUCCCUCUGCUCUCCCGAAGAAGUUUCUGUCUCUCCCGUCAUUUGUUGUUGUUGUGGUGAAGUUAUUUUUCUUGACAAGUUCCACCUACUCACUGUGAACCUGAAGGUCUUUUCCACUGUCGCUCUGCUGUGAAUGCGCAAAAAGGAAGCUUCUUAUCACCAGAUCAGCAACUCAAAUUACAGCGUGAUCAGAAGUGACAUCACCAUGUGGUUUCAUUAAUGAUAUUAGAGAACAGACCAUUUUCAGUCCUUCUUUUGAGUGUCCCCAAACUAUGCAUCUUCUUCUCUUCCUUCCCCAGCUCUCAUCUCUCUCUGAAUGGCAUCACGGUUUCCUUUUCAGGACACCUAUUUUCUUCUCUACUCUCCGUCCGUUAUGAGUGUAUGUAUCUUCUCAUUCUGCCUGUGGAGAACAGAGCAAAAACAAAACAAAACAGAGUACAUUACCACUAUUGACCUGAUAACUUUCUUUUCCCAGAAUAAGAUCUGAAGAGAAUUCAAGAAAACCACAGAUACUAGAACUGAUGAAGUCUACUUCCUGUGAAUUUGUGUGGCUUGUUCAUCAAGUCCUACCCCCAUUGCUGUAUGUAUUCUUUUUUUCUCAUAGUCACAGUAUUUCUGCACUUGCCUUUGGACAAAGCUCACCACAAAGCCCGUGAUUAUUACAGGUGAGAACCUUGGCCCAGUUCUAGGGCUAGAAUUAAAAAAGCCCUGUGUCCGGGAUUGCCUUUUCACUCCGCUUCUAUUUGGGCUCACGGUGGUCAUAAAAUGGAUUCAUUUGAUGAGGAUAAAAAUUCAUUUUUGCUUGAACUAGGCAAACUCUUCUUAACUUUUCCAGUGAUGGAACUGAAUGCACAUGCAUGUUUUUGUGGAAGGAGGACAAUGGAAUGAAAACAUGUUCAAAAAAAAAAAAAGAGUUCUUUCAUAUUACAGGAGAGGGAUUUGGAAUGCUGAGAAAGAAAUCAGAAUGCUGGGUUGUCUUCUGCCUUCUGUAUUAGUUUAGUUAUCCCAUAGUAGAUCAAAUGGAACCAGAAAUAAUGUCAUCAAAUUCUUUAACCAUGGGCGAGUCAUCUAGCCUCUCUUAGCUUCAAUUUCCUUAAACCUAAAACAGUUUCUCAACUUUGUAGUUACUGACUUUGGGGGACAGAUCAACCCUGUGUAAGAGGACUUCCCUUUACUCAGUAGGAUGUUUAGCAGCAUCCCUGGACUCUAUUGAUAAAUGCUAGUAGCAACCUUCCCCAACAGUAAUGACAGUCUUGCCAGAUGUUCCCUGGAGAAGGGGAAUAAGGCAACAUCACCUCCAAUUGAGAACCACUGGUCUAAAAUAAAGAAGUUAAAACUUAUGGUAGCUUUUUGUUCUAAGGUUAUACAAGUAUAACAUUUCAUGAUUCUAGACCCAGAGCCACUUCGUUGAUGCUGAAGACUUUUUUUUCAACUCUUAAUUUAUGCCUAUAAGGAAAGGGAGAAAAGAUGGAAUUAAUUAAAGAGUUAAUAGUGAAAGAGUUUUAUAUCAUUAACUCAAUUAAGAUCUAUUCUCAAAAAUUUGUUGAGAGCCUAUCUUAUGGAAUAAAAAUGGGAGGCAGCAUUGGUUGAAUACUUACUAGCUAAAUGCUUUCAGUGAGAUACCUCACUUAACGUGUGGAAGUUGAAAAAAGCAUAGUUAUCAGUUCCAACUUACAGAGAAGGGAAACUAAGGUUUCCUUGACCAGGAUCUCACCACUAGUCAAUGCGGGAACAGAAACUCAAAGAGAAAUCUAUCUGCCCUAAAAUCUCUGCUUUUGGCCAUUACUUUAUAGUGCUUCCUGGGGUAGCAUUCCAGGCAUUGUUUACACAUUUGAAAUUAACAGAUUUCUUCAUUGUCCCACUAUAUCUGUGAAGUAGGUGCAAUCAUUACCAUCGAUUUUUUAAUAUGUAGGGCAUUAGAGCAGAGUUUAUGUC